GACAGGUGCUGCAUGGCUGUCGUCAGCUCGUGUUGUGAAAUGUUGGGUUAAGUCUCGCAACGAGCGCAACCCUCGUCCUUAGUUGCCAGCAUUAAGUUGGGCACUCUAGGGAGACUGCCGGGGUUAACCCGGAGGAAGGUGGGGAUGACGUCAAGUCCUCAUGGCCCUUAUGCCUAGGGCUACACACGUGAUACAAUGGUGCAUACAGAGGGAAGCGAACUCGCGAGAGGGAGCAAAUCUCAAAAAGUGCAUCUCAGUCCGGAUUGGAGUCUGCAACUCGACUCCAUGAAGUUGGAAUCGCUAGUA
rnacentral:rRNA from 1 species